UACGGAGGGUGCGAGCGUUAAUCGGAAUUACUGGGCGUAAAGCGCGCGCAGGCGGCUGGGUCAGUCGGAUGUGAAAGCCCCGGGCUCAACCUGGGAACUGCAUUUGAAACUGGUGAGCUAGAGUAUGGUAGAGGUAAGUGGAAUUCCAGGUGUAGCGGUGAAAUGCGUAGAUAUCUGGAGGAACGUCAGUGGCGAAGGCGACUUACUGGACCAAUACUGACACUGAGGUGCGAAAGCGAGGGGAGCGAACAGGAUUAGAAACCCCAGUAGUCC
rnacentral:rRNA from 1 species